GCCGGGGUAGCUCAGCUGGGAGAGCAACAGACUGAAGUGAUGAGUUAGUUCUUCUGGAGGUCCCGUGUUCAAUCCACGGUCCUGGCA